GGUCACUGAGACACGGACCAGACUCCUACGGGAGGCAGCAGUGAGGAAUAUUGCGCAAUGGAGGAAACUCUGACGCAGCCAUGCCGCGUGCAGGAAGACUGCCCUAUGGGUUGUAAACUGCUUUUAUAUAGGAAGAACUACAGAUACGUGUAUUUGUUUGACGGUACUAUACGAAUAAGGACCGGCUAACUCCGUGCCAGCAGCCGCGGUAAUACGGAGGGUCCAAGCGUUAUCCGGAUUUAUUGGGUUUAAAGGGUCCGUAGGCGGGUCAUUAAGUCAGUGGUGAAAUCCUACAGCUCAACUGUAGAACUGCCAUUGAAACUGAUGACCUUGAAUAUAAUUGAAGUGGGCGGAAUGUGUCAUGUAGCGGUGAAAUGCUUAGAUAUGACACAGAACACCGAUUGCGAAGGCAGCUCACUAAGUUAUUAUUGACGCUGAGGGACGAAAGCGUGGGUAGCGAACAGGAUUAGAUACCCUGGUAGUCCACGCCGUAAACGAUGUAUACUCGUUGCUAGCGAUACACAGUUAGUGACCAAGCGAAAGUAUUAAGUAUACCACCUGGGGAGUACGAUCGCAAGAUUGAAACUCAAAGGAAUUGACGGGGGCCCGCACAGGCGGUGGAGCAUGUGGUUUAAUUCGAUGAUACGCGAGGAACCUUACCUGGGCUUAAAUGCAGAACGACAGACUAUGAAAAUAGUUUUUCUUCGGACGUUUUGCAAGGUGCUGCAUGGUUGUCGUCAGCUCGUGCCGUGAGGUGUUGGGUUAAGUCCCGCAACGAGCGCAACCCCUAUUCUUAGUUGCCAGCGAGUAAUGUCGGGGACUCUAAGGAAACUGCCCGCGCAAGCGUGGAGGAAGGUGGGGACGACGUCAAAUCAUCACGGCCCUUACGUCCAGGGCCACACACGUGCUACAAUGGUAGGGAMCAGAGGGCAGCCACCUGGUGACAGGGAGCGAAUCCUAAAACCCUAUCUCAGUUCGGAUCGGAGUCUGCAACUCGAUCCGUGAAGCUGGAAUCGCUAGUAAUCGCAUAUCAGCCAUGAUGCGGUGAAUACGUUCCCGGGCCUUGUACACACCGCCCGUCAAGCCAUGGAAGCUGGGGGUGCCUGGAAGUCGGUAACCGUAAGGAGCCGCCUAGGGUAAAACUGGUAACUAGGGCUAAAUCGUAACAAGGUAGCCGUACCGGAAGGUGCGGCUGGAUCACCUCCU
rnacentral:rRNA from 1 species